AGAGUUUGAUCAUGGCUCAGAUUGAACGCUGGCGGCAGGCCUAACACAUGCAAGUCGAGCGGUAGCACAGAGAGCUUGCUCUCGGGUGACGAGCGGCGGACGGGUGAGUAAUGUCUGGGAAACUGCCUGAUGGAGGGGGAUAACUACUGGAAACGGUAGCUAAUACCGCAUAAUGUCGCAAGACCAAAGUGGGGGACCUUCGGGCCUCAUGCCAUCAGAUGUGCCCAGAUGGGAUUAGCUAGUAGGUGGGGUAACGGCUCACCUAGGCGACGAUCCCUAGCUGGUCUGAGAGGAUGACCAGCCACACUGGAACUGAGACACGGUCCAGACUCCUACGGGAGGCAGCAGUGGGGAAUAUUGCACAAUGGGCGCAAGCCUGAUGCAGCCAUGCCGCGUGUGUGAAGAAGGCCUUCGGGUUGUAAAGCACUUUCAGCGGGGAGGAAGGCGGUAAGGUUAAUAACCUCAUCGAUUGACGUUACCCGCAGAAGAAGCACCGGCUAACUCCGUGCCAGCAGCCGCGGUAAUACGGAGGGUGCAAGCGUUAAUCGGAAUUACUGGGCGUAAAGCGCACGCAGGCGGUCUGUCAAGUCGGAUGUGAAAUCCCCGGGCUCAACCUGGGAACUGCAUUCGAAACUGGCAGGCUAGAGUCUUGUAGAGGGGGGUAGAAUUCCAGGUGUAGCGGUGAAAUGCGUAGAGAUCUGGAGGAAUACCGGUGGCGAAGGCGGCCCCCUGGACAAAGACUGACGCUCAGGUGCGAAAGCGUGGGGAGCAAACAGGAUUAGAUACCCUGGUAGUCCACGCCGUAAACGAUGUCGAUUUGGAGGUUGUGCCCUUGAGGCGUGGCUUCCGGAGCUAACGCGUUAAAUCGACCGCCUGGGGAGUACGGCCGCAAGGUUAAAACUCAAAUGAAUUGACGGGGGCCCGCACAAGCGGUGGAGCAUGUGGUUUAAUUCGAUGCAACGCGAAGAACCUUACCUGGUCUUGACAUCCACAGAACUUUCCAGAGAUGGAUUGGUGCCUUCGGGAACUGUGAGACAGGUGCUGCAUGGCUGUCGUCAGCUCGUGUUGUGAAAUGUUGGGUUAAGUCCCGCAACGAGCGCAACCCUUAUCCUUUGUUGCCAGCGGUUCGGCCGGGAACUCAAAGGAGACUGCCAGUGAUAAACUGGAGGAAGGUGGGGAUGACGUCAAGUCAUCAUGGCCCUUACGACCAGGGCUACACACGUGCUACAAUGGCAUAUACAAAGAGAAGCGACCUCGCGAGAGCAAGCGGACCUCAUAAAGUAUGUCGUAGUCCGGAUUGGAGUCUGCAACUCGACUCCAUGAAGUCGGAAUCGCUAGUAAUCGUAGAUCAGAAUGCUACGGUGAAUACGUUCCCGGGCCUUGUACACACCGCCCGUCACACCAUGGGAGUGGGUUGCAAAAGAAGUAGGUAGCUUAACCUUCGGGAGGGCGCUUACCACUUUGUGAUUCAUGACUGGGGUGAAGUCGUAACAAGGUAACCGUAGGGGAACCUGCGGUUGGAUCACCU
rnacentral:rRNA from 1 species